UGGGGGAUAUUGCACAAUGGGCGAAAGCCUGAUGCAGCGACGCCGCGUGGGGGAUGAAGGCCUUCGGGUUGUAAACUUCUUUUGCUCUGAACAAGGCAUGCCUUUGGGGUGUGUUGAGUGUAGGGAUUGAUUAGCGCCGGCUAACUACGUGCCAGCAGCCGCGGUAAUACGUAGGGCGCGAGCGUUGUCCGGAAUUAUUGGGCGUAAAGGGCUUGUAGGUGGCUGGUUGCGUCUGUCGUGAAAGCUCAUGGCUUAACUGUGGGUUUGCGGUGGGUACGGGCUGGCUUGAGUGCAGUAGGGGAGGCUGGAAUUCCUGGUGUAGCGGUGGAAUGCGCAGAUAUCAGGAGGAAUACCGGUGGCGAAGGCGGGUCUCUGGGCUGUUACUGACGCUGAGGAGCGAAAGCGUGGGGAGCGAACAGG
rnacentral:rRNA from 1 species